rnacentral:tRNA from 3 species
CCCUGGUUGGUGCAAUCGGUUAGCACAUCGUUCGUUGACCGCGAACAACGGUUGUUCUCAUGAGCGCCGUUCGUCAAAACUGUCGAAGGCUGUAGGUUCAAGCCCUGCACUGGGGG